rnacentral:rRNA from 1 species
GAUGAACGCUGGCGGAGUGCCUAAUACAUGCAAGUCGAGCGGCAGCGCGAGUAGUUUACUACUUGGCAGCGAGCGGCGGACGGCUGAGUAACGCGUGGGAACGUGCCCCAAAGUGAGGAAUAACCACCCGGAAAGGGUGGCUAAUGCCGCAUAUGAUCUUCGGAUUAAAGUAUUUAUACGCUUUGGGAGCGGCCCGCGUC